GCGUGAGUGAUGAAGGCCUUAGGGUUGUAAAGCUCUUUUACCAGGGAUGAUAAUGACAGUACCUGGAGAAUAAGCCCCGGCAAACUUCGUGCCAGCAGCCGCGGUAAUACGAAGGGGGCUAGCGUUGUUCGGAUUUACUGGGCGUAAAGCGCGCGUAGGUGGAUCGUUAAGUGAGGGGUGAAAUCCCGAGGCUCAACCUCGGAACUGCCCUUCAUACUGGCGAUCUCGAGUUCGGAAGAGGUGAGUGGAAUUCCUAGUGUAGCAGUGAAAUGCGU
rnacentral:rRNA from 1 species